CUGGCGGCGUGCUUAACACAUGCAAGUCGAACGCGAAAGGGACUUCGGUCCUGAGUAAAGUGGCGCACGGGUGAGUAACGCGUAGAUAACCUGUCUUCAUGUCUGGAAUAAUACGCCAAAGGGGUACUAAUACCGGAUAUUCUUGCUUUUCAUAAGUUAUGCAAGCAAAGGUGGCCUCUGCAUAUACUACUGCAUGAAGAGGGGUCUGCGUACCAUUAGCUAGUAGGUGGGGUAAUGGCCUACCUAGGCGACGAUGGUUAGCGGGUCUGAGAGGAUGAUCCGCCACACUGGCACUGGAACACGGGCCAGACUCCUACGGGAGGCAGCAGUGAGGAAUAUUGCGCAAUGGGGAAACCCUGACGCAGCGACGCCGCGUGAGUGAAGGAAGGCCUUCGGGUCGUAAAGCUCUGUCAAGAGGAAAGAAGUGUACAAUGGCUAAUACCUGUUGUAUUUGACGGUACCUCUAAAGGAAGCACCGGCUAACUCCGUGCCAGCCGCAGC
rnacentral:rRNA from 1 species